UACGUAGGCAGCGAGCGUUGUUCGGAGUUACUGGGCGUAAAGGGCGCGUAGGCGGCCUGUUAAGUCGAACGUGAAAUCCCCGGGCUCAACCCGGGAACUGCGUCCGAUACUGGCAGGCUUGAAUCCGGGAGAGGGAUGCGGAAUUCCAGGUGUAGCGGUGAAAUGCGUAGAUAUCUGGAGGAACACCGGUGGCGAAGGCGGCAUCCUGGACCGGUAUUGACGCUGAGGCGCGAAAGCCAGGGGAGCAAACGGG
rnacentral:rRNA from 1 species